ACGGGAGGCAGCAGUGAGGAAUAUUGGUCAAUGGGCGGAAGCCUGAACCAGCCAAGUCGCGUGAAGGAUGAAGGUAUUAUGUAUUGUAAACUUCUUUAGCUGUGGAGCAAUAAUCUCCAUGUAUGGAGAGAUGAGAGUACACAGAGAAUAAGGAUCGGCUAACUCCGUGCCAGCAGCCGCGGUAAUACGGAGGAUCCGAGCGUUAUCCGGAUUUAUUGGGUUUAAAGGGUGCGCAGGCGGCCUGUCAAGUCAGUGGUAAAAUCGUGGGGCUCAACCCCAUCCUGCCAUUGAUACUGCCGGGCUUGAUUGCGGUUGAGGUUGGCGGAAUUCGUUGUGUAGCGGUGAAAUGCAUAGAUAUGACGAAGAACUCCGAUUGCGUAGGCAGCUGACCAAGCCGUAAAUGACGCUCAUGCACGAAAGUGCGGGGAUCGAACAGGAUUAGAUACCCUGGUA
rnacentral:rRNA from 1 species